AACGACGCUGGCGGCGUGCUUAACACAUGCAAGUCGAACGCGAAAGGGGCUUCGGUCCUGAGUAAAGUGGCGCACGGGUGAGUAACGCGUGGAUAAUCUACCUGACAUUUUGGGAUAACAUUUCGAAAGGGGUGCUAAUACCGGAUAAGACCACGAGGCCUUAGGGCCAUGGGGUAAAAGGUGGGGACCUUCGGGCCUGCCGAUGUCAGAUGAGUCCGCGUACCAUUAGCUAGUUGGUGGGGUAAAGGCCUACCAAGGCGACGAUGGUUAGCUGGUCUGAGAGGAUGAUCAGCCACACUGGAACUGAGACACGGUCCAGACUCCUACGGGAGGCAGCAGUGGGGAAUUUUGCGCAAUGGGGGAAACCCUGACGCAGCAACGCCGCGUGAGUGAUGAAGGCCUUCGGGUCGUAAAGCUCUGUCAGAGGGGAAGAAGUGCAGUGGCGCUAAAAUCGUCAUUGCUUGACGGUACCUUCAAAGGAAGCACCGGCUAACUCCGUG
rnacentral:rRNA from 1 species